GAUGAACGCUGGCGGCGUGCUUAACACAUGCAAGUCGAACGAAGCACUUUAUUUGAUUUCCUUCGGGACUGAUUAUUUUGUGACUGAGUGGCGGACGGGUGAGUAACGCGUGGGUAACCUGCCUUGUACAGGGGGGUAACAGUUGGAAACGGCUGCUAAUACCGCAUAAGCGCACAGCAUCGCAUGAUGCAGUGUGAAAAACUCCGGUGGUAUAAGAUGGACCCGCGUUGGAUUAGCUAGUUGGUGAGGUAACGGCCCACCAAGGCGACGAUCCAUAGCCGACCUGAUAGGGUGACCGGCCACAUUGGGACUGAGACACGGCCCAAACUCCUACGGGAAGCAGCAGUGGGGAAUAUUGCACAAUGGGCGAAAGCCUGAUGCAGCGACGCCGCGUGAGCGAAGAAGUAUUUCGGUAUGUAAAGCUCUAUCAGCAGGGAAGAUAAUGACGUUACCUGACUAAGAAGCACCGGCUAAAUACGUG
rnacentral:rRNA from 1 species